rnacentral:rRNA from 1 species
GGAGAGUGCAAGCGUUAAUCGGAAUUACUGGGCGUAAAGCGCGCGUAGGCGGAUACUUAAGUCGGAUGUGAAAGCCCUGAGCUUAACUCGGGAACUGCAUUCGAUACUGGGUAUCUAGAGUAUGGUAGAGGGAAGUGGAAUUUCCGGUGUAGCGGUGAAAUGCGUAGAUAUCGGAAGGAACACCAGUGGCGAAGGCGGCUUCCUGGACCAAUACUGACGCUGAGGUGCGAAAGCGUGGGGGAGCAAACAGGAUUAGAGACCCUGGUAGUCCACGCUGUCAACGAUGAGAACUAGACGUUGGAGGGGUCUACCCUUUAGUGUCGAAGCUAACGCGUUAAGUUCUCCGCCUGGGGAUACGGCCGCAAGGUUA